CCUACGGGUGGCAGCAGUGGGGAAUAUUGCACAAUGGGGGAAACCCUGAUGCAGCGACGCCGCGUGAGUGAAGAAGUAAUUCGUUACGUAAAGCUCUAUCAGCAGGGAAGAAACACUGACCUUACGGUCAGCAGACGGUACUUGAGUAAGAAGCCCCGGCUAACUACGUCCCAGCAGCCGCGGCAAUACGUAGGGGGCAAGCGUGAUCCGGAUUUAUUGGGUGGAAAGGGAGCGUAGACGGUGCGCCAAGUCUGGAGUGAAAUGCCGCAGCUUAACUGCGGAACUGCUUUGGAAACUGGCGAACGAGAGUGCGGGAGGGGUAAGCGGAAUUCGUAGUGUAGCGGUGAAAUGCGUAGAUAUUAGGAGGAACACCGAUGGCGAAGGCGGCUUACUGGACCGUAACUGACGUUGAGGCUCGAAAGCGUGGGGAGCAAACAGGAUUAGAUACCCGUGUAGUC
rnacentral:rRNA from 1 species